UAGAGUUUGAUCCUGGCUCAGAUUGAACGCUGGCGGCAGGCCUAACACAUGCAAGUCGAGCGGUAGCACAGAGAGCUUGCUCUCGGGUGACGAGCGGCGGACGGGUGAGUAAUGUCUGGGAAACUGCCUGAUGGAGGGGGAUAACUACUGGAAACGGUAGCUAAUACCGCAUAACGUCGCAAGACCAAAGUGGGGGACCUUCGGGCCUCAUGCCAUCAGAUGUGCCCAGAUGGGAUUAGCUAGUAGGUGGGGUAACGGCUCACCUAGGCGACGAUCCCUAGCUGGUCUGAGAGGAUGACCAGCCACACUGGAACUGAGACACGGUCCAGACUCCUACGGGAGGCAGCAGUGGGGAAUAUUGCACAAUGGGCGCAAGCCUGAUGCAGCCAUGCCGCGUGUGUGAAGAAGGCCUUCGGGUUGUAAAGCACUUUCAGCGGGGAGGAAGGCGGUGAGGUUAAUAACCUCACCGAUUGACGUUACCCGCAGAAGAAGCACCGGCUAACUCCGUGCCAGCAGCCGCGGUAAUACGGAGGGUGCAAGCGUUAAUCGGAAUUACUGGGCGUAAAGCGCACGCAGGCGGUCUGUCAAGUCGGAUGUGAAAUCCCCGGGCUCAACCUGGGAACUGCAUUCGAAACUGGCAGGCUAGAGUCUUGUAGAGGGGGGUAGAAUUCCAGGUGUAGCGGUGAAAUGCGUAGAGAUCUGGAGGAAUACCGGUGGCGAAGGCGGCCCCCUGGACAAAGACUGACGCUCAGGUGCGAAAGCGUGGGGAGCAAACAGGAUUAGAUACCCUGGUAGUCCACGCUGUAAACGAUGUCGAUUUGGAGGUUGUGCCCUUGAGGCGUGGCUUCCGGAGCUAACGCGUUAAAUCGACCGCCUGGGGAGUACGGCCGCAAGGUUAAAACUCAAAUGAAUUGACGGGGGCCCGCACAAGCGGUGGAGCAUGUGGUUUAAUUCGAUGCAACGCGAAGAACCUUACCUGGUCUUGACAUCCACAGAACUUUCCAGAGAUGGAUUGGUGCCUUCGGGAACUGUGAGACAGGUGCUGCAUGGCUGUCGUCAGCUCGUGUUGUGAAAUGUUGGGUUAAGUCCCGCAACGAGCGCAACCCUUAUCCUUUGUUGCCAGCGGUUAGGCCGGGAACUCAAAGGAGACUGCCAGUGAUAAACUGGAGGAAGGUGGGGAUGACGUCAAGUCAUCAUGGCCCUUACGACCAGGGCUACACACGUGCUACAAUGGCAUAUACAAAGAGAAGCGACCUCGCGAGAGCAAGCGGACCUCAUAAAGUAUGUCGUAGUCCGGAUUGGAGUCAGCAACUCGACUCCAUGAAGUCGGAAUCGCUAGUAAUCGUAGAUCAGAAUGCUACGGUGAAUACGUUCCCGGGCCUUGUACACACCGCCCGUCACACCAUGGGAGUGGGUUGCAAAAGAAGUAGGUAGCUUAACCUUCGGGAGGGCGCUUACCACUUUGUGAUUCAUGACUGGGGUGAAGUCGUAACAAGGUA
rnacentral:rRNA from 1 species